AAAAAGGCAAACCAUGGGUUCCCGUGCCAACGUUUGACUGUCCGUCUUAUAUGAAAUUUUUUUAUAAUUAGUAUUUUAAUUGUUGUUAGAUGAUAAAACAUAAUUAAUACUUUAUGCGUGACUUAUCUUUUUAAUUUUUUUCAUAAUUUUUUCAAAUAAGACGAACGGUCAAACGUUGGACACGGAAACCAGGGUUUGUCUUUUU
rnacentral:pre_miRNA from 1 species